rnacentral:rRNA from 1 species
UUCCUACGGGGGGCAGCAGUGGGGAAUAUUGCACAAUGGGCGAAAGCCUGAUGCAGCAACGCCGCGUGAAGGAAGAAGGCCUUAGGGUCGUAAACUUCUGUCCUUGGGGAAGAAGAACUGACGGUACCCAAGGAGGAAGCCCCGGCUAACUAAGUGCCAGCAGCAGCGGGAAUACGUAGGGGGCAAGCGUUAUCCGGAAUUAUUGGGCGUAAAGAGUACGUAGGGGGCAACCUAAGCGCAGGGUUUAAGGAAA